ensembl:lncRNA
AACCCUCCCUAAGCUCAUUUAAGGGUUGGCAGCCUUAGAGAUCACCUGCUUUUGAGAGUUUCCAGGGAGCCCUGAGCCUCAGAAAAGAAAAACUGAAAAGAAGAUAAAACAAAGAAGGAGGAGCAACUUGAGACAUAAACAGGGAGAAGCCUCUGAGCCAAAACUAGAAGAGGGGGCUUUGUAACUUACUUCAUCUUACCGCAAGGGGAAAGCUAUUUUAGGUGACGCGUGGCUUGGAUCAGUAUUCAAACCACUGAGGGAAGCACAAGCAAGGUGUAGAAGUAUUCAUGGCAUGCUAGGAAGAGCUCCUGGUUGUCUGGAGUGCUCAUCUUGAGCUGCCAGGAGCACAAUGAACGUGUGCAGGGCAACAGUGCCAUCUUAUAUAACGUGUCCGUGGAAGGAGGAGUGUGUCAAACUGCUUUAAUCUGUAUGAACAAGUGGUAGUGACUCCUGUAAUGGGGGCUGAAACAAAAUUAAUCUCAAGUGUAAUGUGUUAAGAGCUUGGUUUUAUGAGCCAUUUCUAGAACUAGACAACAUCAAACAAAAAUACUUGGCACAAUUGUUUUAUGGUGGACAGUCCCAAGAAGCGAUAGGAAUUGAG